rnacentral:rRNA from 1 species
GAUGAACGCUGGCGGCGUGCCUAAUACAUGCAAGUCGAGCGAACAGACGAGGAGCUUGCUCCUCUGACGUUAGCGGCGGACGGGUGAGUAACACGUGGAUAACCUACCUAUAAGACUGGGAUAACUUUGGGAAACCGGAGCUAAUACCGGAUAAUAUAUUGAACCGCAUGGUUCAAUGGUGAAAGACGGUUUUGCUGUCACUUAUAGAUGGAUCCGCGCCGCAUUAGCUAGUUGGUAAGGUAACGGCUUACCAAGGCGACGAUGCGUAGCCGACCUGAGAGGGUGAUCGGCCACACUGGAACUGAGACACGGUCCAGACUCCUACGGGAGGCAGCAGUAGGGAAUCUUCCGCAAUGGGCGAAAGCCUGACGGAGCAACGCCGCGUGAGUGAUGAAGGUCUUCGGAUCGUAAAACUCUGUUAUUAGGGAAGAACAAAUGUGUAAGUAACUAUGCACGUCUUGACGGUACCUAAUCAGAAAGCCACGGCUAACUACGUG